rnacentral:rRNA from 1 species
UUAGGGCAAGUCUGGUGCCAGCAGCCGCGGUAAUUCCAGCUCCAAUAGCGUAUAUUAAAGUUGUUGCAGUUAAAAAGCUCGUAGUUGAACUUCAGACCUGGCUGGGCGGUCCGCUUAACGGCGUGUACUGUCUGGCUGGGUCUUACCUCUUGGUGAGCCGGCGUGCCCUUUAUUGGUGUGCGUCGGGGAACCAGGACUUUUACCUUGAGAAAAUUAGAGUGUUCAAAGCAGGCCUAUGCCUGAAUACAUUAGCAUGGAAUAAUAAAAUAGGACGUGCGGUUCUAUUUUGUUGGUUUCUAGAGUCGCCGUAAUGAUUAAUAGGGAUAGUUGGGGGCAUUGGUAUUGUGUCGCUAGAGGUGAGAUUCUUGGAUUGACACAAGACCAACUACUGCGAAAGCAUUUGCCAAGGAUGUUUUCAUUAAUCAAGAACGAAGGUUAGGGGAUCGAAAACGAUCAGAUACCGUUGUAGUCUUAACAGUAAACUAUGCCGACUAGGGAUCGGACGACCUCAAUUUUGAUGCGUCGUUCGGCGCCUUACGGGAAAC